rnacentral:lncRNA from 1 species
GCUGCCUGAGGUCACGAAAGCUGCUUCUGGAUCACAGGACGGGGUCUAUUUUGAGCAAAUGAGGUCAAUGAAGUUGCGGGGAGAAGUGCGCGGCGUUGCCCGUGACUUCCGCACGUGGGGCAUUUUUCCACCAAGAGAAGAAGUUUGGCUUUAGGGAUGAGAAAUGCAGAAGGACACCAGGUAAGAGAAAGAACCCGCAUUUUAGGCACCCAUAACCUAGAAAGCGGCCAAGGGAGGGUGGUGCCGUGAGAGAUGCCCUGGAGGAAGGGUGCCUUCUGGAAAAGGGCGCCGUACCAGGGAAGCGUACAGAAGAUAAGGCCGCCCUCCUGUAAUUUUAUGUUCCCUCUGAGCCCAGCGACAGACCGCUGCUCUGCUCAGAGACGGAAAGAUGUAACAAAGGGGAAUUGUCAGGGCUGGAAUUCCCCCAGUAAAGCCUUUCCAUAUUUAAGAAUUAUUAAGGAUAUGGUGUAACGGCUGGUGGCGUGACAUUCUUGCGAACUGUCUCUUCUUUCCAAGUCCUUUGCAAGGCAGGGAUGGGGUUCCUGGGACGGGAGCCAUCUGAAAUCCUAACACACUGAACCGGACUUUUCCCUCGAACAGCAGCUUGAUGUUCUGAAGUGUCACAAGCUUCGCCGGCUUCAUUUCAUGGCCGAAACCUCCUGGAAACAUACAACUCCCAUUAUUUUCUCAAUGAAAAGUGCUACCCCUUGAAAAAAGUGCCAGGUCCAAACAGUUUCAUGGGUAGUUCCCUUUCAAACCUCAAGGAUAGUGCCAGUAUGAUUUAAACCAUUACAGAGCUUUGAUAAGGCUUCUUUUUUGUAAAGUCAGCCAAACUACAGCAUCAAAAUGUGAUACUCACCCAGGAGUUUCCACUGUGGCUCAGUGGGUUAUGAACCUGACUAGUACCCAUGAGGAUGUGGGUUCCGUCCCCGGCCUCACUCGGUGGUUAAGGAUCAGGUGUGUCUGUGACUGUGGUGUAGGCCAACAGCUGCAGCUCCAAAAGACCCCUAGCCUGGGACCUUCCUAUGCCGAGGGUUUGGCCCUAAAAAAGCAAAAACAAAAGCAAAAGCAAGCUAAACUCAGACUCAUCGAGGUGCAUAGAUUUAUGUGAAUACGUAAAACGCUACUUAAAACAACAGCAAAUAGAAUGAAGGAGCAUCUAAAGUAUGAUUGCCCAUGUGACCAAACGUGAUAAGCCAGGGACACAAAGAACGCUUCUAAUUAAAAUCCAUGCAAUAUACAGGGAUUGGAGGAUAAGGAAGAGCUUUUUGAUGUGGGAACACACUCUAGGGCUUUUUAAUUACUUGGCAAGGACCCUAAAGAGGGAGGUGAGGUUGCAAGUUUAGCUCUUGAAAACUUUUCUUAAAAAAUAUAUUUUGGUGGGCAUUUGUUUUGUAUUAAUACAUAAUACAAUGUGUCCACCUCAAUAUUAAGAUAAGCAACUCAAUUAAAAAUCUCAGGCAUUUCCGUCGUGGUUCAGCAGUAACGAACCCAACUAGCACCCAUGAGGUUGCAGGUUCGAUCCCUGGCCUUGCUCAGUGAGUUAAGGAUCUGGCGUUGCCUUGAGCUGUGGUGUAGGUCAAAGAUGUGGCUCAGAUCUGGUGUUGCCGUGAACUGCGGUGUAGCACCAAUUCAACCCCCAGCCUGGGAAAUUAUGUAUGCAGCGGGUACGGCCCUAAAAAGACGAAAAAAUAAAAUAAAAUCCCAGAAGAUUGUAUAGACACUCUAUAAAGAAUAUGUACAGAUGAUCAAGAGGCAGGUGAAAAGACGCCCAGCAUCAUUCAUCAUGGGGGAAGUGCAAAUCAAAACUGACAUGAACCUCGACAUACACCGCAUUAGAGGGUCUGAAAUCCUGGUUUCCCCACCUCUCUUUCAAGUCUCUUCCUCCCUUCAUCCCUGAUAACCACACAUCUUGUUUCUGUCUCUAGAGAGUAGCUUACCUUUGAUAGAAUGUUGUAUAAGUGUAUAUUAUUUAAUCCUUCGUGUCUGGUUUCUGUUGCUCAGCAAAAUGAUUUUGAGGUUCUCACACAUCGUCACAUGCAUCAGUGGUUUAAUCCCUUUUAUUGGUGAGUGUUGGUAUCCCCGUUGCAUGGAAAUACCCGUAUCUGUUCAUCUUGCUGAUGGGUGGUUGGGAUGUUUCCUGUUCAGGUUUAAAAUGAAUAAAGUUGCUGUGAACGUUUAUGU